rnacentral:lncRNA from 1 species
CUCCCCGCCGCGGCUGAAGGAAAGGCGAGACGAAGAGAAGAAAGAAAUAAAAGACUCCAAAAGCAAAGAGCGUCAGAUCACUGGUAACGGAGCAGCGUCCCGGCUCGCCGCGUGGCGGCGAGGAGGAGGAGGCGUUUUUGUUGUUUGCCGAUACCUCCUUGGUCCUGGGUUCUCGGACCAAAAUACCGCUUAGGUUGCGACCAGCGCAGGAGGCACUGGUUUCUCUUGUUGAGUUCUUUAGUUUGGUGAACUCAUAUACUUUGUUGCCGUUUCAGAGGAAGAUUUGCAGGGCAAGACGGAAGAGGAAAUUGAGAUGAUGAAAAUGAUGGGGUUUGCCUCUUUUGACACGACAAAGGUGAGUGUGGAUCGGGCGAUCCCACGGCUGUGCUGUACGGCUAGAGGUGGAGUCUGGAAACGGCUUUCCACUCUCUCUCCCCCUGGCUGUGAUGUAUGAAGGGUUUGUGCACAAAGGAGUCGUUGAGUCCGCUUGCCCGAACAGUCCCUCGUUAGCACCUGACAGGUCCUAACGAUGAUGUCCGGCUUUGCUCCGUAUGUGCCCAAGUCUCUUUCCCNNNNNNNNNNNNNNNNNNNNNNNNNNNNNNNNNNNNNNNNGCUGUGGUGCUUGGGCACAGAUCAGUGUUUUGCCCCUCGUAGAGGCAUCCUGUGUGAAAUGUCCCGAUCCCACCUGUACGUGUGCUCUCUGCGUUACCGUGCCCUUUCUCCGGCAGGCUCCGGACAGCGCGCUGACUUUUGGACCGUUUUUCUUGUGCCUUUCAGGGGAAGAAGGUGGACGGUGCCGCAAAUGCCUAUGCCAUCAACGUGUCACAGAAGAGAAAAUACAGGCAGUACAUGAACAGAAAAGGAGGAUUCAACAGACCUUUGGAUUUCAUUGCUUGACGCUUGGAUUGGUCCAGCUCGGUAUUUCAUGCUGUGGCAAUUGAGAUGGAUUCCUAAAACCCAGCCUGGUGCAGCAAAUCCGACUCUUCAACACCUCACUUGGGCUGGCUUUUACGGUCUGCCUCUCCUCUGUCCCCGUGCAGCUCUGGUGGUUUACCUGAGGACUAAGUGUGCUGUGUUUCUCCUGGAGCUCGGGGUGAGGCUGAGGUUGACACCCAGUUCCUGAUCUCAAGCGUGGCUAGUUUUUCCUCCGGACUUUCGGGCAGGGUGGGUUGAGGCAGCGUUGAGAUGGCGACACCGCCGAUCUUUCCGCAGCGCUUAAUCAGCCCGGGCCACGUGGCGUGACUUGUCACAGGCUCCUGUCUGCCGUCCUUAGAUAAGGCCCCACUGGUGGCCAGGGAUUUCCAAAUCAGCAGGAUGUAGUAGUCACUUUUUUAGUUUCAUGUUCUCGAUAAUUAGAAACUGCUCGUCACGCAAGCAAGCGUGAGCUUGCUCCAGCCUGGUACGUGGGCAGGGAGGGACCUCGCGGCUCAGCCUCGGCCGAAGCCGAGCGCCGCCGGCCAGAAACCCCCUCGGCCUCGAACGGGUGCUCCGAGGAGGAACCUCGAUUCCUGUCCUCCGCGACGAGCUCCGAAACCGGCGGAG